rnacentral:rRNA from 1 species
UACAGAGGGGGCAAGCGUUAUUCGGAAUUAUUGGGCGUAAAGGGCGCGUAGGCGGCCGUGCAAGUGGAAGGUGAAAUCCCUCGGCUCAACCGAGGAACUGCCUUUCAAACUGCUUGGCUUGAGUCCGGGAGAGGUGAGUGGAAUUCCCAGUGUAGCGGUGAAAUGCGUAGAUAUUGGGAGGAACACCAGUGGCGAAGGCGGCUCACUGGACCGGAACUGACGCUGAGGUGCGAAAGCGUGGGGAGCAAACAGG